GCCUGGGUGGCUCAGUCGGUUGGGCAUCCGACUUCGGCUCAGGUCAUGAUCUCACAGUUUGUGGGUUCAAGCCCCACGUCGGGCU
rnacentral:tRNA from 1 species